rnacentral:rRNA from 1 species
GACGAACGCUGGCGGCGUGCCUAAUACAUGCAAGUAGAACGCACAGUUUAUACCGUAGCUUGCUACACCAUAGACUGUGAGUUGCGAACGGGUGAGUAACGCGUAGGUAACCUGCCUGGUAGCGGGGGAUAACUAUUGGAAACGAUAGCUAAUACCGCAUAAUAUUAAUUAUUGCAUGAUAAUUAAUUGAAAGGUGCAAUUGCACCACUACCAGAUGGACCUGCGUUGUAUUAGCUAGUAGGUGAGGUAACGGCUCACCUAGGCGACGAUACAUAGCCGACGUGAGAGGGUGAUCGGCCACACUGGGACUGAGACACGGCCCAGACUCCUACGAGAGGCAGCAGUAGGGAAUCUUCGGCAAUGGACGAAAGUCUGACCGAGCAACGCCGCGUGAGUGAAGAAGGUUUUCGGAUCGUAAAGCUCUGUUGUAAGAGAAGAACGGGUGUGAGAGUGGAAAGUUCACACUGUGACGGUAACUUACCAGAAAGGGACGGCUAACUACGUGC